rnacentral:rRNA from 1 species
CCUACGGGGGGCUGCAGUGGGGAAUAUUGCGCAAUGGGCGAAAGCCUGACGCAGCGACGCCGCGUGGAGGAUGAAGGUCUUCGGAUUGUAAACUUCUGUUGGAUGGAAAGAAAAGUUUGUUUCUAAUAAAGACAAAAAAUGACGGUACCAUCAAAGAAAGCACUGGCUAACCUCGUGCCAGCAGCCGCGGUAAUACGAGGGGUGCAAGCGUUGUUCGGAAUCAUUGGGCGUAAAGGGUGCGUAGACGGUUUGUUAAGUCUGUUGUUUAAUCUCCU